rnacentral:rRNA from 1 species
UACGUAGGGUGCAGGCGUUAAUCGGAAUUACUGGGCGUAAAGCGUGCGCAGGCGGUUUGCUAAGACAGGUGUGAAAAUCCCCCGGGCUUAACCUGGGAACUGCGCUUGUAACUGGCAAGCUAGAGUGUGGCAGAGGGGGGGUGGAAUUCCACGUGUAGCAGUGAAAUGCGUAGAGAUGUGGAGGAACACCGAUGGCGAAGGCAGCCCCCCUGGGCUAACACUGACGCUCAUGCACGAAAGCGUGGGGAGCAAACAGG